rnacentral:lncRNA from 1 species
GCGCGGCGGAGCUGGUCGCUGAGCCGCGGGCCGGGGGAGCGGCCGGUCGGGGCGCGGGAAGCCCGGGAAGAUUCCGGUCUGGUCACGUUGGAGACUGGUCAUUUUCUAGAGGGAAAGGAGAAGCCCAUGAAAGGAUGGUGAAUUCUCUUUGAGUUUCAGUUGCCAGAAUAAAAGAAAGUCCAAGCAUCAAACAGAUAAACUUGAAGACACUGAAAGCUAAGAUACCAUGAUUCCGAAGCCAGUCCACCCCGAAGUCAUGGUUUAACUAUUGCAUUAAGGUCCUUGCGCUUGAGCAACAGGCGGUGAAACCACUGAGCUAAAUCCCCGGCCCCACUGCAGGAACUUGCACAAGACACGUAACCUCUCUGUCUGCCAAUCUCCACACCUGGGACAAUGAUAAAGUGUCUGCCGGGAAGAUAUUUACGUUGUGAGGCCCGACAUUACAAAUGCACAUUGGCAAAUGCUAGACUGUGCAAGUGUCGUCAGCAUCGGUGCCCAUAAUAAUAAUGGCGGAGUGCUUUGAAGGUUGCACGGCUGGUGAACUGGGGAAGGCACAGUGGCGAGUGGGGACUUGCGAACAAGAUGGUCCAGGAGUGUCCUGAAGUGGAGACCUUGUCAGUGAGAAAUAGCCUGUGAGGUGGGACAAGAAUAGCAUCCGGAGGAAACACAAGUGCCACCGGCGUGUCUUAAGCAGAAAAGGCACGUGACAAAAUCCAGUACUUCAUCAUGUUAAAAAAAUAUCUGACAGCCUGGGGCUAGAAGGGAACUUCCUCACCCGGAAGGAACAUCUACGAAAAACCCGCUGCUCUAGCACGCUGAAUGGUAGGGCUGAAAGUUUCCCCUAAGUCCAGGAGCAAGGAUGUUCCCUCUUAGCAAUGCUGCUCAGUAUUUGUGAUGGUUAAUAUUAAAUGUCCACUGGACCAGAUUAAAGGACAGCCAGGGAGCAGCUAACGCAUCCUUCCGGGUGGGUGCCAGUGUUUAUGGUGUGGGAGCCGUUGCCCUGAGGGAAAGAUCUCCCCUUUGUGUGGAUGGAGGCCGCCAGCCAGCCUGGGCCUGAGACGGAGCAAAAAGACAGCAGAGAAGCCUGACUUGCUCUUUCUCCUGGAGCGGGGACACAUAUCUUUCUGUUUUCAGACAUUGGAAUCCCAGGUUCUCUGGUCUUGGACUCUAGGACCACAUCCCUGGUCCCCUGGGCCCCCAGACUUUCUCCCUACUUAGACUGAGUUACGCCACCAGCUUCCCUGGCUUUGAGACAUUUGAAUUUGGCCUGAGCUAAGCCACAGGCAUCCCUGGGUCUUCAACUGGCAAAUGCCAUGUUAUAGGGCUUACCCACCACCGUGAGAGCCAGCUCACCUAAGUCGCCUCUCCCAGGUGCCCUCUAGUUAUCUGGUUCUUUCUCUCUAGAAAACUCCAACAGUCUUCCUCACAACUAACGGGAUUAGAAAACUAAUAUGGAAUUGUGCUGGAGGGUCUAGCCAGGGCUGUUAUGCAAGAAAAUGAAGUAAGAGGCUUCGAGACCAGAAAAGACAACACUCUCUAUUUACAGGUAGCACAUUAUUUGUAGGACAUCCUUAGGAAUCUACUAAACUGUUAGAACUAAUAAGCUCAGCAAGGUUGCAGAAUAUAAGAUGUAUUGAUGUACAAACGUCAAUUGUCUUUCUAUAUACUUGCAAUGAGUAAUCUAAAAUGAAACUAAGAAAAUAAUCUGUUUGAUAAUAAAGAAGAGUAAAAUAUUUAGGAAAAAAUUAACAAAGGAAGUAUGAAACAUGUACCCUUAAAAACUGUAAAAUCAUCAUUGAAAUGGAUUAAGGGAAACCCAAUGAAUUGGAAGGCUUAGUAUUGUUAAAAUGGUAAUGCUCACUGAGUUGGUAACAUAGAGUCAAUGCAAUUUUUAUCACAGCUUCAGAUGGAUUCUUUACAGACAUUGACAAACUGACCCUGAAAUUAAUAUGAAAAUUCAAGGCAUCCUGAAUAGGCAUGACAGUCUUGAAAAAGAACAAAAUAGGGGGGUUCACUUCCUGAUUUCACACUUUCCACAGAAUUGCAGUAAUCAAUUCAGCAUGGCACUGGCAUAGGCAUGGAGGCCUAUACACACGGGGUAGAGCUGAGAGUCUGAAAAUAAACUCAUACAUUUUUGGUGGUGAUUUUGGACAUAUGCGCCAACAUAAUUCAGUGGGGAAAGAAUACUCUCUUCAAUGACUGGUGCUUGGACAAAUGAAUAUUCAUGUGCACAGGAAUGAAGUUGGACCCCUACCUCACACUAUACAAAUAUUAACUCGGAAUAUACUGACAAAGGUCUACAACUUUAAAACUCGUAGAAGAAAACAUUGGCAUAAAUUCAAUGACCUUGGAUUGGGUAUAAUUUUUUAGAUAUGUCACCAAAAGCAAACGUGAAAAAAGAAAGAAUAAAAUGAACUUCAUCAAAGUUAAAAACUUUCAGUUAUAAAAGGUCAGUAUCAAGAAAGUACAAAGACAACCCACGAAAGAGUUUAAAGUCAUAUGAGAUAAGACAAUGUAUAUAGAAUAUAUAAAGAACUCUCAUGACUCAGUAAUAAAAAGGCAACCCAAUCUAAAAUGGGCAAAGGAUUUGAAUAGAUAUUUCUCCAAAGAAGAUACACUAUGGCCAGUAAGCACAUGAUUCAGUAAACAUAAAGGAAAUGCAAAUCAUAGCACAACAAGAUAUCACUUUCUACCCUCUGUGAAAGAGGGCAUAACAAAUGUUGGUGAGGCGGUGGAUAAAUGGGAACUCUUACAUACUGCUGAUGGGAAUGCAAAAUGCUUCCAGUGCACUUGCUUUGGAAGACAGCAUGGCAGUUUCUCAAACAGAUAUACUUAGAGUUACUCCUUACAACUCAGUGUGUAAAUCCCCAGGUAUAUAUUCAAGAGAAAUAAAAACAUACACAAGAACACUAAUGUUUAUAGCAGCGCUAUUUAUAAUACCUAAAAAUGGAAAUAGCCCAAAUGUCUGUCAACUGAUGAAUGAAUAAAUAAAAUAUGGUAUAUUCAUAUGGCAAAAUACUAUUUGGCUAUAAAAGGAAAGGAAUACUAAUACAUGGUGUAACGUGGAUUAACCUUGAAAGCAUGUCACCCGAAAGAAGCCAGAUACAAAAGGACAUAGUAGGGUUCCAAUUAUGUGAACUCUCCAGGUGGGUGGCGUAGCUUAGUGGGAAAGUGCUUGCCUAGCAUACGCGAGUCCAUGGCUUCCAUCCCCGAACUAAAAAGGGAAAGAAAAACAAACAGGCACAAAUGUCCAGAACAGACAAAUCUACAGAGACAGAAGGUAGAUUAAUGCUUGACUACAGCUGGGAGUGUCUUAUGGGGAAUCAGGAGUGACUGCUAAUCGGUUUGUGGUUUCUUUGGGGUGUGAUGAAAACGUCUAAAAUUGAUUUGGUAAUGGUCACACAACUCUGUGAAUAUACUAAAACCUAUUGAAUCACACUUGACAUUGGCAGAUGGAAUGCUAUGUGAGUUAUAUUUCAAUAAAGCAGUUGUGUAUAUUUAAAAAGCAUUUCUUAGAACUUUAACGGUCAGAACUUGGCAAUAGAUGAGAUUUAAGGAAUAAGGACUAGGGAAGAAUCAAGAAUGACUCCUUAAUUUUGACCUUGGGUGACUACUGAGAAGGAGAGAAAAGACAGAGAGGAGUGUUUGUCUUGUUUUUCUGUUGUUUUGAUGAGGGCCAGCUUUGAGAAUCAAGAUUCUGUUUAGAAAUAUUAUGUUUAAGGUCCCUGUAAAAGAUUCCAGACAGAUGUUAGGCAGACACUUGGAAGUGAGUCUGAAGCUCCAAGGAGCAAUCCAGACUGGAAAUAUAAUUUGGAUGGUAGGUAGAUGCAUAAGGACAGAUGGAGAGGGCCAGGGAGUGUGUGUGAGAGUGUGUGUGUGUGUGUGUGUGUGUCUCUCAGGGUAAGGGGAAUGAGGGAGGACCACAACCUAGAUAUACCCAGGUGGUAUAACUGUCCAGGGAGGAGGAAAAGGUCGGCAGAGGGGGGCCCUGAACUCAGGUGGCCGACAAGAGGGGGCUUCCAUAGGCAGGCCGUCCAGAGAGCCCCAGGAGGAGGCCGGAGGUGGCCAGGGGUCCUUUGGCCAAGUGGAGGUUGUGCAGUACCUCCUAAGAGUAGUUCGGCUCACCAGAGAGGGCCAGAGAGGGAACAUGGAGUACAGAAUUGGAGAGUUAAGCAGCUGUGUCUAGAAGUUCUGCUGCAGUCACUCUGGAGCAGCUCUGCUCUGAGAUGGAGAUUGUUUUCCAUUCCGGGGAGACACUCCACAGGAGUGCUGUUGGGUUUGGAGGUCGCCCUUUCUUUCUUGGGGCCGGUGGUCCAGAAUGAUCCUGCCCAGGGCAGCUUCUGCAAGCCAUAGUACCAGGGCAGGGCCUAUAGGGGGGCGUUGCCCAGCCGCGUCCUGGGAACAGUGUAUUCUGUGCUUUGUUCUCUGAUGGCUUUGAUUUUGUUUUUGUUUUGUGCUGGGGAUGGACCCAGGCCCUUGCACAUGCUAAGCACAUGCCCUACCAUGGAGCCCCAGCCCAGCCAUGUUGUUAUUUUGAUUUGGAGAAAACUGAAAGUAGGAUUUUACCAAUGUGCUUUUUCACGGUUUAAGUAGGAUUGCCUACAAGUCUUCAUUUGAAAUCAGAAUAAAGGGAAAGCUGGGCCUUGCUCUCAGAUGCAGUGAGGGCCUUUAGCAAGCACACCCGACUGUACAUAACUUGCCGCUCCUGAGAUGUUAGUAGGACCCUGUUUUUGGACCACUGAGACUCCAGCAGGUCCUGAGUGAGGUGGAGGGAACACACACACACACACACACACACACACACACACACACACCCCCGCAGUGGAGGCAUAUGCUUUUAGAAACCUCCAGUGCGCUGACCGUAGUUCUUAGCACUGCCCUCCCUGGGCUGCUUUACUAAUGCAGAUGUGAAGACAGCUUUCCAAGGUCCCUGGUCUUCAAGCAGCACCCAGCCUCCCUCCCAUGAGGACGCACUGGGGAAUGGAGGAGUGCUUGGGUUAGAAAGCCCAUUUUUCUGCUGUUUUCAGCAGACAUUGGGGUUUGAACACGUGACCCAGAUGGCUCAUUUUGGAUGAGUCUAAGUAAUGGUUAUUUUUUAUUUUACAAGAUGCGUGUGUGAGAGUGUUUUGGUGAGUCAGAUCUUUAGUCAUAUCUGAGUGCUGCUUGCUAAAAUUUCUGUUAUAUAGAAUACAGAUGAUUUAUCAUAAAACAAUAUUUUGAAAAUCCACUUUUUUCUGGCUGUUUUGACAUUUUCUUUAUUUCUCUAAACUUGGGUAAAGGCUCCAGGUGUAAGGGUUUUGUGUGUGUGUGUGUGUGUGUGUGUGUGUGUUUAAACAUGUGAUGUCAUUGUUGUUUGGUUACGUUUUAUUGUAUAUGUAGGAGGUAUGUAUUGAGGUUUUUUUACAAAGAAUUUUUCAGUAUUUCUUUAAAAACCUUCUGCAAUAGCAUCUUCAUAUGUUCUACAGCACAGAUCCUGUAGGCUCUUAGGAAUUCUCAUGGAAACAUCCCAUUAGUAGUGUGUGCACAGCUCCAUCACAGGUCAGGCUAAGGCCGAGUCACUGGCUUUAGGGCACUGUCUUGCAGCGGUCCUGCGCCUGCACUAACUUCAAACCACUUCCAAUUGCUGGAAAGUCACAGUGGUUAUCUGGGAGGAUCCAUUUGAACUUCAACCUGUUGUCUUGGCUCCAGGCCCAUGCUAAAGGACACUUUUGAUUUCUUGAUUUUAAAAGAGCAGAAGAAAGUGGUCUCGGAGAGAAAAAGGUUUGAUGACCACUCCAGAGGCUGGCAGCCGGCCCCACCAUGACCAGGGCUGGGCCAUGUCAGUUCCGUCUUCCGAUUGUGUUCAGAGAAUCAGGCGGGAAGGGCAGGUGCUGCAGAUCUGCCUCAAGGAGCUUGCAGUCCACUUCGUCCUGCCUCAGAGGCAUCUGUGUAAGUUGCUCUAUUUCUCAGAAACCUCUUGUUUGUCUCGGGCGGUGGCCAGGCCUCGCAUGCGCUGUGUGUGCUGUGUCGCAGACCACAGGCCUGUGCCUGAGCGUUGUUUUGUCUGUGGGCAGACGCAUAUGUGUGCAGCAUGCAGCAUCUGGCAGCGGGGCUGCUGGGGCCAGGUACACAGCCCUGGGCAGGUGGCUGAGGUGUGGGAACUGCUGACAAGAGAGCAGAACAGGAGAGGCCAGGUAAGGUGCCUGUGGAUUUUCUAAAACAGCUCCGUUGGCUGCUUUUUGAAUACUAGUUAGCAUUUAGUGGGCUGGUGGCUCAUUCUGUUGUCCCCUGUUUUUAUUUCCUGGCAAUGCUUUUUAGGUGUUGCUAAUGAAUUAGCCUAAAGCGGUUUAAUGAACAUGUCGUUAAUUUAGGUUUGUAAAUAAAGAUAUGCAUUUUUUUUAACUGCUGUCUCCUAUGGAAAAAAGCAAGAGUAUCUAACUUUCCAAAGAGGAAAAACAAAGUAACAUAUGGUCACAUGAAGAGUCCCUUUGUGAUCUUUUGUUGAGUGGAGUUUAAUCUGCAGGCUUAAUUUAAAAUAAAAUUUACAGGGCAACAGGAAAGAGAAACCAUGGAAGACUCUAACUACACCUUUGUAUGUCUGUGCUCCUCACCUGUGCCCUUCCUCUUUCUACACGCACACGCACACACACGCAAGCACACACAUGCACACACACGCACAUGCAUGUGCCCCGAGCUGCAUGUGCAUGAAAAAUAGGUAGAAAAAGCUAUGAAGGCCAAACAGAAAGUACAGUUUAGUAGUAAGAGGUUGAAUAUAAGAUGGAACAAGUCCUAAUUUUUUAUUUCACUUUCAUUUGGAUACAUUUACUAAUUCUCUUUGCUGGGCUUAAGACUUCUCAAACAUUCUUUGGCCCUGGGAGGGAGUUGUAUAACCAUAAAACUUGAGAAUCCUGGCCCUGGGAUAAAUGUUCCUUUUAAAACCCCAAGGACAGAAAAUUGAAUACAGCUGUGCAAAAAACCCCAAGGUGGCGUGAUGUUUCGGGGCAGCCGGCACCCUGUGCAGCUUUCCAGCUCAUCCGGGCUGGGUUCGUGGAGACAGACAGGGAGCACUGCCCUUUCCAAAGGCUUCGGGGAAGGGUCGCGCUUCCUUCAGAAGCGUGUGUUUCUGGAUGUGGUUACCAGACCACUCUUUCUGGGGUGCUGUCCAUCAUCUCUGCAUACUAUACAGUUUCUCCUGCAGGGAACCGGCAUUUCUAGGUCGUCCUCUAAGAUGCUGUGGUUCCCCAAACCGCACCUUUCCUACUGAGGGGUCUUGGAGCUUAAGCCUUUGUACCAGAGUCAGAACAGAGACGCGAAUCCCCUCCUCUGCCUCCCCCAGCGAUGUCGUUUUCUCCUGAGAACAUGGCUUUGCUCCUUGCCCCUCCCCUGGAAUGGAAACCAGGAUGUUGCUUCUCUGACGUUGCCUGGUGGGUUGCACUGCUUGGUCUGCAGCCCAGGGGAGCCAUCACUGGGAACUAACCCCUGUCCAGCCUGGCAUUAAUUACUGUAAUCUCUGUCAGAUGUGUAAUGAUGAUUCAUACUUCUUCCUCUACAAGAUUAGAUUACUGUAGUUUUCAUAUCCUGGACUUCCCACUAGGGAUUUAGAUUAAUACUUGUUGGUACAGAAAACAGUCUUGUGUUUCUAAGGAGAAAGGGCUGCACUUGCCCCCUUGGUCAUCAUCAGAGAACAUGAGGGAGGCCCUGCCUCAAGGCAGUCCUGCCUCUGGGCUCACCUUGUCAGUCAGCUUUCCCUAAAGGCCAGGGAGCGGUGUCUCUCUGUGUGUAAGGUCCGGGGCAGUGGAUUUGCUUAUGUGAUGCCAAGCCUACAGGUCAGAAUGCACGGAGGAUUUUGAACUCAGUAUUGAACUCAGUAUUGGUAUUGGUAUUGAACUCAGACCCUGAUUAGUGAGGGAAGUCUUUCCCAUAUAAGUGUUUUGGAUGGAGACAAACUAAUUCAUGCAUGUGGAACUAUCUACCCAAAGCCAUCAGGGACUAUGACCACAGUGUAGGGAGUUGAGGGGAGCCUAGGAGAUGGAAAGCCGCCUCUUAAGAACUCUUAAGUUUCUGUAGUUUCUCUGUAGAACAUAUAUUUUUCAAUUUGUACAACAGGCAUUUAUUGAGCACUUGCUCUAUCCUAGGCACUAGGGACGAGCAACCACCUGUAAGACCAACAGAAAUCUUGGUCCUCACAUAAGUCACAUUCUAGGGGCCCUUGUUACUGGGGGUAGGUGUGCAGGUGAAAAAAGAGUGACAGCAAGAAAUUUUCAUACCAAGAACUUCAAAAUGACUGUAAUCACUUGUAAAUAUACCUGCUUAUUUAUUUCCUGCCCUCUCUCUGACACAAUGCACACCCCACUGAGAAGACAUUGAGAAGACAUUUUCCAGCAGAUCCUCUCAUACUCAGACACGCUCACGAAUCACCCAGUUGGUGUCAGGACCCCAUCAAGUAACUUUAGGGUCUUCCAGGGAAGUGCAGACUGGAGCCCUGGUAGAGAAGCUUGAACUGUGACCAAGGGUUUUCACUUUAUUAUCCUGUCUCAAUUCUCCUUCGCAGUGCCUCGCAUCAACAGAGUUCCUCUCCCUUGGGUCCCCUUCUUUCCUCUAAAUUCUUCUUUACUCUAAGUGGUUGUGGGUUUUCUUGGGGGAAGAUGAGACCGUGCCUUGGAAUGAUGAGUCUCAGUCCUUUGCAGCAGGACACAGCCGCAGGAGUGUGAAUCCAGGCCAGUGAUUUCAGUGGUGGAUUCAAACCAAGUCUUCACCUGAAGGCGGUGAACUGAAAACAGUGCAGAAAUGCUUAAUUGAUUUCUGUAUCUUCCUUUGAACUCAAGCAGAUGUGUCAGGCAGAUGUGUUCCCAGCUGGAGCCACAGAUACACGUUAAGACACCACACUAGCAGUUUGCUAUUGUAGAAUUAUCCACAUUGUAGUUCCAGUCAUAACAGGCUUAUCAGGCUUUUUGUGACCACUGCUAACUCUGUUUCUGGAGGAGGGGGAGAGGGAGCCCUCACCUGUCCUGCACCACCAACAAUGCGUGGGGCUCUUGGUCAGUGGGAGAAGGGAGCGAGUCGAGAGAGCCACCUGGCAGCCUCCAUUGUGGAUGACGCUUCUCGGUCUCCUUGGUAACACGGCACAGGUGUGUGCCUUUUAAGCACCCUCCUUGAGAAGAUCCAGAGCUGCUUCAUGUUUUCCCCUCAGGGAUAAGCAUGGUCAUUUCCUCUCUGUGUUUGGGACCAGCACAGGAAGUCCCCGGUGGCACUAAGCAUGGUGAUGUUGGCAGCGGCAUGCACGGGAGAGGACCUUUCUGGGUCUGCUCUGGAGUAGGAGGUCCUCAGUCCUUCAGACUCUGCUUCAGCUCAUCCCCGCCUGAGAAGCACUCCCGUGGCUCUGCCUGCCGUGUGACGGCUUGCCAUCUGAGAGCCAGCAGAAACCCUGCAGUUUUAGUUGUAUGACAGCCCAACCGGGGCAUGGCACACUUUGUACAUCUCCAAUUACUUGCAAGACUCUGAGCAUGGUGUCCAGGAAUGUGAUGUUGGGCCAGCCAUACAGGAGGCUGCGUCCCUGGAAUCGGGACCAGCCUCACCCCUGGCACACUCACGUUUCUUUCGGGCAGCGAGGCCAGCAGUCCGUCCAUGCUUAGCUCUGCCGCACACCCAUUGCGUGGAGCUGCUGCCCGGGAGAGAGGCUUGGCUUGCAAAUGGCUUGUUCAAGUCAGUGACUCACAGAUGACAUUGGAGCACAAAAAGAUCUUCAUCUAAAGCCAGUGAAGUUUUCCAUAAGCUUUCAGGGAAAAAAAGAUCAGACUGGCAGCCUCCAUUUAUUGAUUUAUUGAUUGAGAUUAUCUGGGAGAGGGGAAUUUGUUGAUUGAAAACCAUUACUAACUGAAAACAAUAUCCCCCCUUUUCACCUUUUUAAAAAAUCUACAGUCAAAAAUUAUCUGACUAUGGUGCAGACGGCCACAAUCUUAGACCCACUGGAAUAGCAGUGUAGAUAUUAGGAGAUGUCCCUGUAUUCUCUCAUAGAUGUCCAACCCUAAGCUUAUUGAGACAAUGGAAUGAGUCUGUCUGGUCCUGUUAGAGCAGGAAUUAGGACAGAAUUUAGGCCCUGAUUGCCUGACUUUUUCAUUCCCUGGAAAUGAGCAGCUUAAAGAAAGACCUCCAAAGGUUGCUCAAGUUCAGUUAGAAUGCUGUGCUCUUCAGAAGGCUAAGGCAAUCAGAGCUUUGUGUCUCACUUUCCCUGUUCUGACAGCUCCGGCUGGGUCUCUGAUGCCACUUUCACUUCAGAAUCAGAGGGAGAGUGGAGAGGAAUGUGAUGCUGUUGCCCACACACACUCGUGCCAGCGAUACUCGUUUGAUUUCCUGCUUAUAGAUGCAGGAGCCAACCCAUGACUGCAUCUUCAGAGGGAGAUUAAACAUUGAUUAAUCAACCCUGAAAAAAACCCAAAAAACAAAAGGAGAACAUUGUAGCUGCAUUAAAAUGGGAAAAGGAGCUGACUGCAAGCUCUUUUGAUCCUAGUUCUCAGUCUUCAUAUCAUAAACAUUUAGUAUACUCAUGCAGUGGCAGACGUUGCUAGGUUCUCAGGAUAAAAAAAGAGAGACACUGAAGUCCCCGCCCUUUCCAGGUCAGGGCAGGGCUUGCGGAGAGACAGAGUCAGCUUCGGCUUGAAGGGUGAUUGGGCUUUUCGAAGUGAGGAGGGAGGAAGGCAUCCUCAGCAGACAGCCGCCCAGACAGAGCAAAGUGGUCUCUGAGGCUUCUGAAGGUUGAGGGCAGAUCCGCUGCUGAAUUGUUGGGAAGGGCCAGGCCAGAGAGGCUGGGGACUUCGGAAUUUACCAGCCAUUCACGUCUGUUUGGGUUUUCUUUUGUUUGUUUUCUCCCAGUACGUAUAUGCUGGUGUCACAUACCUCUGAGAUUUGUCUAAAUAUGAUGUUGGUGAUAAAGGCAGGCAUUACUACUCUGUGUGAUGUUCAUAACCGUGAGGAAUACACUCAUCAGAGUAAGUCACUUCCCAUCUUGGGCUCUGUGAGAUGAUCUUUGGGUUGGGUGUGAUAUCCAUAGUAUUUAUUUGUAACCAGGUACCUUUUUCUCCUACUGAUGACUAUCUAAAUCCAAGAAGGUGAUUUUUUUGUGUCGACAUUCUUGUGAUUGCUCUUCUGCAAGUCUAGUUACAGAAAGUUUCUCGGUUACAAAACCAUGGCAAGCAGAGUAUUAUGGACAUAGUAGUAUUCUCUGUAAUUAUUUAAGAAAGUUAACUUAAACUAUCCCAUGAUUCAUCCAAAUUGAACAUGUUUUUCGAGACUCUAACAAGUCAAACAGGAUACCAUCUCCAGAGACAGGACAAAGGAUCACGUGAUUAAAACAGCAAGAUGGAAGGUUGUUUGGUGAGCCACGGGAGCACAUCUAAGCAAAAUUAACCCCAGGGAUCUUAUAGGCAGAAUUGGAGCUAUGCCAGUGAUGGAAAUGAGGCUCCGCCUUGUAUCAUGCUGUGAUGAAUGCUGAUUUCCCAGAGUGCAGGAAAAAACCCACCAUCUAAUUCGGCCCUGUGUAACUAGGAACUUUCAUCUGUAAAGAAACUUUCAUUUUCCUUCUUAGGCUAUAAACUUUUCAUAGGUAGGAACUCUGCAGAGUACCUAACUUGUUCAUUUUCUUUUUUCUUUUCCCAUUAAGUUUAUUGGCACAUUUUCGGUAUAAAAUACUGUUACAUUCAUCAUUGAGAUCUUGUACCUUUACUUGAGUAUCUUGAUUCUUAUUUUUUCCCCUUCUCUUGCCCACCCUUCCCUAUUUGCAAAGACCUUGUUUCCAUUUUUUUCUCUUUUCUCAUAUUUUUACUUUUCCCUUUUUUCCCUUCCCCUACCCCUCCUACUUCCCCUGCACCUUUGGACCUUUUCUUCCUUUUACACAAUAUCAAUUAUACAUUUGUUAAAUUACAAUAUCAAGAUCUAGGAGACAUUACCACAGAUUUUACAGAAUUUAAAAGGAUAUAGAAAGCAUAUUUCAAAAAUCUUUUUUGAAAUAAAUUUGACAACUUUUAAGAAGUACCUUGGAAGACAAAUUAAUGAAACUAACUCUGGAGGAAAUAUAAAAUUUGAAUAGCACCUAUUAAAGAAAGUAUAUUCCUGGCUUGAAAACCUACCUAUAUGACAACAGCAGGCUCAUAUACAUUUUAACUGAUAAAUUAUAUCAAACAAUUAAAGCAGAAAAAGGAAGGAACACUUCUCUCCUCAUUUUAGGAACUCAACAUUGUGUUAAUCCUAAAACUGGAUAAAGAUAAUAGAAGAAAAAGUAUGAACAUAGAUAGAAAUUUGUUUAACAAAACAAACUAUUGGAAGUCAGAUCUGGCAGGAUAUAGAAAGUGGUUUUGUUAUAGGGAUGGCAGUGUUGGUUCAGCAUUGGAAGAUCCACCCCUAAAAGUCAUCAUUUUAACAGAGGAAAGGAAAAAGCCAUAUGAUCCUGUCACUAGUUGGAGAAAAAGUAUUGGACUAAAUUCUACAGCUGUUCAUGGUAAAAGCUAUCAGGAGACUAGAGGUAGAACAGAACCUUCUCAACAGAUUAAAGACCUGUACUCCAUACUUCCAGUGAGAAUGCCUUAUAUGAAUGGAGAAGAUACAAUGCUUUCUCCUUAAGGUGGGGAACAAAGGCAGAUAUGCUUACUCUUUAUCUGUCCAUUAAACUUUGAAACCUAGGCCCCACCAAAAUAGUCUGGCAAUAAAAUGAUACAAUUAGGAUAGGAUUGGCAAGGUAGAAGCAAAAUCUUUAUAUGUAGAUGAAAUGAUCAUCUACAGAGAAAAUACUAAUAAAUCUCUGGGAGCCCCUAGAACUUGUACUUGAAUUUAGCAGGAUUAGAAAACACAAGGUAUAUAUAAAAAUUCAGGUCUGUGUAUACUUGCUAUAAAUGAAGAAUUGGAUAUUGAAAUUUAAAAGUUAUGUAGGAGUACAAAGGACCUAGAACAGUUUAAAAAAAACACAAAAAAACAAAAACAGUGUUGGAAGACGUUUAGUACCUAAUUUUAAGACUUCUUCUAAAGCUACAGUAAUCAAGGCAGUGUUGGUGUAAGGAAAGACAUAUAGAUCAUUGGAAUAAAACAGAGAAUCUAGAAAUAGAACCACACAUAUAUGGUCCACUGAGUUUUGAAAGAUUAUUCAACAUUAGCAUUUUAUAGAAUAUAAACUCAAUUCAAGAGCCGAGGAAGAGAUAGUGUUUUCAGCAAACGGCACUAGAACACCUGGUAUCCGUAUAUAAAAAAUUAACCUCAACCCUUUAUUUCCAUACAUGAAAAUAACUUGAAGGGAUCUAUGAACCGAAAUAUGAAAGCCUAAAAGUAUAAAACUUUAAGAAGAAAUUAUAAGGGAAAAUGUUUAUGAAUUCAGGGUAGGCAAGAACUACCUAGGAUACAAAAGACAUGAUGUAUAAAAGAAAAAAAUUGAUCAAUGAGAUUCCAUCAAAAUUUAGAACUUUAAAUGACAUCAUUAAAAUGAAAAGUAGUCCUUAAACAGACCAUAUUUACAAUGCAUAUAACCUAGGACCAGAAUAUAUAAAGAAUUCUUAGAGCUCAUUAAUAGACAACCCAAUGAAAAAGUAGACAUAAGAAGAUGAUAAAUAGCCAGUACAGCACAAGGAAAGGUGUGCAACUCUAGAAUCAGAAAAAUACUAAUCAGUACAAUAACAAGAUUGAAUUAUACACUCAUUAGAGAGAUGAAGUUAAAAGUUUUAAAAGUCUUGUCAUGACUUUUUCUUUUUGCUGGAUUCUCCCCCUUUGAGUUUAAUUUGUCACACCCAAUGGAUUCAUUCCACUGGGCUUCCUGGGGUUGUGAUCCUCAUUGUCUUUUCCUAGGGUGUUGUCUAAAAUUGUUUGGAGUGCCGGGUUGAUAUUUAUGAAGUUCCUGAGGUGCUCUUUAUCACGAAAGUAUCUUAUUUCUCCAUCGAUUUUGAAAGAUAGUUUUGCAGGGUACAUCAAUCUGGGUUGGAGGCUGUUUUCCUUUAGGGCUUGAAAUACAUCACUCCAAGCUCUUCUUUGAGGGUUUGCGUUGAGAAGUCUGCUGUGAUUCUGAUGGGCUUUCCUUUUUAUGUGAUUUGUUUCUUUUCUCUCACUGCUUAUAGAAUUUUGUUCUUCUGUUGGAUUUCUGGAAUCCUAACUAUUAUAUGCCUAUGUGUAGAUUUUUUUUGAUGAAGGCUAGCUGGAGUCCUAUAUGCCUCACUUAUCUGUAUGUCAAGUUCUUUUCCCCUCCUUGGGAAGUUUUCUGCCAUCACUUCUGUGAAGAGUUUUUUUUUAUGUCAUCUGCACUCUUUCCUCUUUCUUCAUUGACUCCAAUCAGUCUUAUGUUAUUCUUCUUUGCAUUGCCUAGCAGCUACUGGAUUGAUUUCUUGUGUUCCUUUACAAUUUUAAAGCAAUUUUUCUUUUCCUGGUCACUAAUUGCAAUCUUUUCUACUAUAUCUGAAAUUCUAACCUCAUAUUGGUUCAUUCUGCUGCACAGACUUUCGAUGGAGUUUUUAAUCACCUGGAAAUCUGUUUGUAUCUAUCUGUUUUAUGGAUUCCAUUUGUUUCCUAUGUUGGGAUUCCAUCAUGUUCCUCAGAUCCUCUAUUUUUUUAUCUGUGUCCUCUCUAGAUUUAUUAAUCAUGUCUUGCACCAUGAGCAAAAUCUUUGCUGUUAUCUGAGUAAUUAUUUCUGAUUUCAUUUUUCCCAGAUCCUCUUUUGUUGCCAGUUCGGAGAAUCCAGGUGGUUGAGUAUCAGAUUGUUCCAUCUCGUUUCCCUUUGGGAUUGCUGUAGGUGAUCCAGAAGUCUGUUUUUGAAGCUUGUUUAUGUGUCUUCUCAUUUCCACGGUGCGGGGGGAGGUGCUUUUGGUGCCUGUGCAGCUCACCUUCUCUGUCCUAGGAGCUUGGGAUGGUGGCAGGGGAGCUUCCUUCGGGGUGCUGGGACUGGCUCAGCUUCUCUCUCAUUUUCUUUUUAAUAUUGAAGAUUUUAAUAAAAACAUUGGCUGUCCAGGGCUGAAUGAAAAAAAAAAGAAAGAAAGAAAGUUUGUCAAGUGAGCCUCCAUCAGUGGGGAGCAGGUGCUGCCUGCCUGAGUUGUAGCUCCUGCCAGGACCACACUGAGAACCUCUGUAGAUGGAUGAGGCCCAGGCUGGGCUGUGAAAAGCCAGUCUAGAAGCAGUAGGGAGGAUGGCCUGGGGAGGUGGCAGUAGGGAAGGGAAGCAGUUCUGGGAGCUCCUGUGGUAAUACUGACUCAAGGCCCAAGGGUAUGGACAGGGAGUGGAAGCCUAGAGGAAGGCUGGCACUCAGGCUGUGAGGCCCAUCACAGCUUCAACCCAAGGCACAAGCUCCAGUGAGGAGGGUCCCUGGCUCUGGUCGGGCAUCCAAGUUGCUUGGGUGAAGUUGUGGCCAGUCAGGAAAACAGGAUCCAUUUCCACAGUCAGAGCUCAUGAGAGUCAUCAUUUGUCCUGAGCUUCACAUUCCUGUGAGGUUUCCUGGUAUCUUGAACUCCAGGGAAUCACCAAUAACAUGAACUCUGCUUUGGGUGUGGUACAAUUUGAUCCAGGAGAAAUAGACAAGAAGAUUCCCAAGGUCAGAGUCCUGCAGACAUUUGAGAGAGGGAGGAGAUAGAAGGGGUGGCAAGACAGCUGAAGUUGUGGUCAGCAAGACCUGGAGAGGCCUGAAGAGAGUAGUGUCAAAGAAAUGUUUGCCAAGAGGAUGUUCCUGGAAGUAGGCUGAGUGUCGAGUCCUGUGUGAGGAGAGUGGUUCCUUGGAGAAGCAAACAAGGACUUAGGGGAAGGUGACAGGGCUUGUGAGCCAUUGGUGGUGAUGAAAACAAGAGAGAUAAGGCAGACUGAGCUUGGAUGUAGAGAUGGGGCUGCAGGAAUUGGGGGUAUAGGAGAUGGGAGAAUCUGAGCACAUCCCUGAGCUUGUGCUGCCCUCUGCAAAGCCUGGCAGAGUCCUAGUCUCCCUGUGAGUUGCCUGGCAUUGCCAUGCUCAUCUGUCCUAGCAUGAAAGGCUCACGAAAGUGAGUGUGGUUCUGUGUUUGCAUCUUGGUUUUAUGCUAGGAAAUCUGAGAGAAUAAAAGGUACCGAGAUAUUCUCAACCUGCCCAUCCUGCAACAAGGAAGGCUGGACUUACGUUGUCUUUUUUUAAGAGAAAGACCUCUAAGACUAUAGAAUUCUACAGUUCAAACACUUGUUUUCUUUUAUAUUUAUAGUAGUGUUAAAAUUUAACAUACCCAGUCUUCUUCCUUGUCGAGGAGUUUUUGGCUAUUUCUGAAAUAUAAAUCAUAUUUGGAAAGUUAAUCAUCUUGGGCAUGGACUGAACUUCUGGAAAGUGUGGGGCACCCUCUUCUGUUAUUGGAUAGGCUGUCAGUAUUACAGGUGCCCUUUGGAAGAUCUAUAUAACUUAUAUUUGUCACCUUCCCAUUUCUAUAAUGAAAUAUUUGAAGCAGUUGACUCAUAAAGAGAAAAGACUCAUGGUUCUGGAAGGUCCAGUCCAAGUUCAAGUGGCCCCAUCCUUUGUCACAAGGAUGACACAUCAUAGCAGGAGUGUGUGGAGAGAAAUCCACUCAUAUCAUGACAAGAGAGCAAAAAAAAAGAAGGAGAAAUAAACAGGCCAACGUUCCACAAUCUCCUUCAAGGACAUGCCCCCAGUGAUCUAAAGACCUCCCUUAAGGUCCCACCUCCUAAUGGUUAGGAGACUUCAAAUAGAGCUGCCAUGGGGACCAGACCUUUAACACAAAGACUGCUGUAGGACAUUAGGCAUUCUAAUUUCAGCACCUGCUAUGAAAACAAAUUUAACUGGAAAUCUAUACUUGUCAUGUCUUACCCUGUAUCAAAUAUUGUACUUUGGAUCGAUGACUUUCAUUCAGGUAGGGUAAAGCAAAUAUUUCCAAUUUGAAAUACUUAAGAUGACACUGAUAAUAGAUAAAGCAUAGUUAUAGUUAAGUAGCCUAUUUUCCAAUGGAUAAUUAUCCAGGUCAUUACAUAUAUCAGUAGUUUGCUGUUUUAUAGUGCUGAGUAUUAUUCGAGUCAUGUUUCAUGGUAUGGGUGUGGACGUACCACACGGAAGACUAGAUUGAGGAUUUUUUGCAUUGGCCUGUAAAUGUCCAAUUGCUCUACCAAUAUUGAUUGAAAGGUACAAAAAUCAGUGGAGCAUGUUUGUGAGGGGCCUAGCUCUGGUUUUUUAAUUCUACACCAUUGCUCUAUGUUAUGUGUUCAGCCCUUCAUCAACACUAACUAUUACUCUAGCUAUAGAAUAGGCCUUAACAUGGGAUGGAUUGAUUCCUCUCUAUUCUUUCUCAAGGUUGUUUUAGCUAUUCUAGGGUCUAUGUCUUUACAUAUUAAUUUUAUCAUAAGCUUGUCUUUAUCUGCCAAAAAUCCUUACAAAGUUUUGGUAGGAUUUACAUUAAACAUUAAUCAAUUUGGGGAGAAUUGAUAUCUUUACUAUGUUGGCUCUUCUAAUUCAUGAACAUAGUAUGUGUGAAUGUUUAUUUAUUGGAACCAUUUUAGAGUUUUUAAGUCAGCAUUUUGUAAUAUCAGCAUAUAGAUCCUGCAUGUGGUUAGCUGAAUUUAUAUCCCCAUAUUUUCUUCAGAAUGAUUCUAAAUUGUAUUGCUUUUAAAUUUUGAUUUCAUUAAUAGUAUACAAUAGGUGACAGAAAAAUGAAUGCAAUCUCUCCUAGAAAACAUAUAAUAAACAGUUCCUAAAUUAGUGCAUGCAGAUUAGAAUGCAUAAUAAAGUUGUGUAAUGAACAGUUACUAAAAAGAAUAGUACAAUAUGCUGUAAUACUAGUAUUAAAUGCUAGUAGUAUUAAAUGAUAGCAAAUGUGAAAUAGUUACUUAUCAACUAUCUUGGAAAUGUCUAAGUCUAGUACAAGUCUAGUUCUGAUUUCUAAUUUUAGUUCACGAUGUAUGGUUUUUAUAUCAUGUCAUUUUGUGAGUAUGGCCGAAGUUAUUUGAGUUGGGUGGGUAGCAAAAAAAUGUCGCUAGGUGUUUCAGUGUUUUGCACAGGUGGAAUUAAAUGGGAUUCAGAAAUUCAAAGCCCAAAAGGUAAGCAAAAGAAGGGACUAAGAAGAGUGAUCCUGUUCAUCUCCAGUCCACGUCAGCCUGGGAAACUUGGGUUGUCACAGGGGAGCAGCACAUGAUAGUCUAAGAGGCACACAAAAGUCAUCAGAUGUGUUUAUUUUGUGGCAGUGAAUCUUUUUUUUUUUUUUUAGAAAAACUGCAUUAUCGUGGUAACCGUGAUUCAUUUUCUUCCUCCUGCCUUUUCCCAGAUAGUCAACAGUUUGACAUUCAUUUUUAUUUACUUUUACCCUGCUUUACUGGAGAAAGAGUUUUAAAAAACUCACAUAAAAACAUUCAUGAGAGAGAAAUUUUAAUGAGGGAAAGCCAAGUUGAGAAACGGGAAAAUAGGAUGAGGACCAGGGCUGAGAUUUGGGGGUAGCUGUCAGGCUGAGGAGUUUUGUUUGUUUGUCCUGUUGAACUGGGUAAAAAAUUUGACUUGGAUGAAUUGUUUUUGACCCUUGCACAAAAUAGACAUAAAGCCAGUGUCUAAUUAUCAUGCCCGCUCAGUAUCUGUCAUCUUUUCAUUAUACCAUGAUAAUGGCACAUAUUUAUGGGGGCGGUGUGAUGUUUCCAUCCAUGUAUAUAUUGUAGAGCAAGCAAAUCAGGAUACUCCUGCUCCAUCAUCUCAAACACCUAUCCUUUCUUUGUGGUCAGAACAUUCAGAAUCCUCUCUCCCAAGCUACUUGGAAAUACACAACUCAGUAUUGCCACUCUUGCACCCGGCCCCAGGGUGCUGGCUUAGGGGCAGGUUUGUCCUGGAGAGGUAGUCAGUGACGGGAAUCUGAGCCUGCUUUAGGAGGCCUCCCCUGCUGCCUGCUGCAGCUGGUGGUCCAGGAGCAGCAACACGUGGAGGCCCAGCACCCAGAGGCCCACAGCACAGCAGUGUGUGCUCCAGCACAGGCCUUAGUGAGCUUGAAGUUCAGGCUCAGGGUCAUUCUUGAUAACAACAGGGCCACCUACCAUUGUAAGUACUUUUGUAAAUGGAAUGUUUUUGUAAUAUUUAGUUUUAAUGUUUAAAAAAUGUAAAGGGCCUUUUAAGAAAUACAACUUAGUUAGGGCUCGUUUGGUUUUGAAGUGAAAUGAAUGACCUGAAAGCCAUAGGAAGAUAGACCUUCCCUGUCUUGAUUUAUCCUUGCCCGUUGAGAGAUCUUCAGUUCAGUUUGGUUUUGAGAUAAGAUACUUGUGCUGUUUCAGAGCACUUCCAGCACAAUUGUUUCUUCUGAUGAUUAAUUGUCCUAUAGUUAUUGGAAGUAGUUAAGAAAUCCAUAGGCAUCUACACAUUUGUAAACCUGUAAAGAGAGAUGUGCCAUUACAGCACGCUGCUUCAUAUAUGUGCUGUAUACAUACAGCUGAUGUUUCCCUGGGGUGUUCAGAACCUCAGCUUUAUCAGUGAUAGUGGGUUCUGUCUUUUAAUCUACGCAGUAGAGUUAGAGAUCCAUUUGCCUGUCCACUUCUGUGUUGCUGUAGCCUGCUCAGGAGUCUGCUGUUGUAUGUUUAAUUCCUAUAAAGCCAACUGAAAGACAAUGUGCACAAUUGACUGCAUUCAAAGUGGCUGCAGGCCAGACCUAUUGCAACAGCUGACGGGCUCCCGUGAGCUCCAGGAGCUAUUUCUGGUAGAUUAGCUGGUAUCACAGCUCUGGAGUUCAGGCCAUAAAAGGCUGGUCAUAUCUGGAGUUGCCACAUUUGCCUCUGACCCGGCCUGGGCUGAAGCUCCUCAGGUUUCAGUGGAUUUACCCAGGAAUGGACGGCCCUCCCAGCCCCAGACUGAGGAACCCCAGCCUCGAGGACUCCGGAGGACUCACGGCUUCAACGAGAAGACUCUUUUUAUUAUUCUCUUGGCAUUCUUUAUUCAGAGGAACUUUUGGGAUGUAGCCUUUACCUGUUUCCCAAAUCUGGCCUCUUGGAAAGCACCAUUCUAUAUUUAUCCAAUUCUGAAUCAUCCCUUUCAGUAGAUGCAGUUGCUCCUGCUUGCAUUGUGAUGUUGGAUUUUGUGCAGCAUUACUUGGGCUAACUUUGGAUAUUUUACUUUUUGUUUAAAAUUUGAAAGUAGUAUUCAUUGAGAAGAGACUCUACUAAAAUACUCAAGGACUUCCAAAGCUGGAUUAGAGGAUAUAGUCUGUUUUAUUUUUUAAUUAGAAAAAUAAGGAAUUGUCGUGUGGUUUCCCUUCCCCCUUUCACUUAGAGGAACAAGGAUUAUACAGAAAUUUGAAGUAAGUGAAAACUAUUCCUAUAAAUCUAAAUGCAAUUUUUUUAAGUGCCACCUGCCUGAGCAUGCUUCCUAGGAAUCUGUUUACUUCAAGCACUGGAAUGUUCCUGCCGGUACUGUAUUUGCUAGUCACUGCCAUUACUUCUAGAGACACCCUUGGGCAUAUUUUGGAGGUAAAGAAAGAUUGGAUUUUUUUUUUCCUUAAAAACAAAAGGACUUACUUUACCAUACACAGAGGUCUGUUGCUAACAGUUUGAUUAGAAUAACUUAGUAAGUACAUUCUAAAUUUUAUCACUUGAAUUCUUGGGAUUGAAGUAUAUUCACAAUACAAUGCAUUUUAAUCAUUUCACAAGUAUGGGGGUGGAGUCCAAAGGGUAAGCUUAGGUAAUUCCUUUCAUUAUUUAUUACCAAUUAUUGAUUGCUUGUUUGUUUGUGGUGCUGGGUAUGGACCAGAGCUGGAGGUGUGUUAGGCAUGUCCUCUACUGCUGAGCUCCACCCCGCCCUCCUUCCUUUAUGUGGAAAUGAAAAUCACUCGUGAUCUUUUUUGUGUACCUGUAUUUUGAUGAUUCUUUGCCUUGCUGCUCUGAUUCCUUAGGCUUGAUUUAUAGAACUUCUUUGUUCUUGAAUUUUAAAGAAAAAUCUAGGUUCUAGGUUUUGAAUUGUAAUUUGUCUUAAAAUUCUCCAAGAAAAAAGUUCAGUGUCAGCCUUCUUAAUCCCUAGGGAUAGCUGUGAUCUCUUCGUAAUUUAGCUUGGCAAUUUGGUGUUGAAAAAUAGCAUUGAGCUCUAGGACAUUUAAGGUUUAUUUGACAUAAUUCUUUUUGUUCAUACCAUAUCAGAUGAACAAGUAUGGGUAGUAAUUAUUUUUAUCACACAGAAAAACAGCAUAUUUAUAGAGAAGGACAUCAUCGGUGAAUACUGCAGCUCUGCAGUGGAAGUUGUACUGAAACCCUAGGGGGCAUGAGGAAAUGCUAGGGGUGGGGUGUAGAUUCCCCAGUAUCUGCUGCUGGACUUUGGAAGGAUGCAAUUUGCAUGCUAUAUGUAAAUAUGUACAGGAUUACUCUGGCCAAAAUGCUGACGUUACCCACACUGAAGAAAAUUGAAGGGUAUACAUUAUACUCUUGACCUCCAUAGAGAAGGGAAUGCUAGGCACACUGGGGCUGCUCAUCCCUGAGCCAGGUGGGCUCUGGAGGAGCCAUGAGGUUGAAUGUCCUGCAGGGAAUUAAUCCUCCUUGUCACUGCUGAAGAUGCAUGGAGGAGAUGCAGGUGAGCGGAGAGCAAGACAGUGCUGGUUAGCCAACCCUCAGGGAAAACUUUUUUGAGAUUAUUAAGCUGUUACUGAGAGCAUUAUCUUCAAAGUAAAUUUUAGUUAAAGUACCCAACUCACGGGGGACAUCCUUCUUUCAUCCAACACUUCCUUAUCUUUGCUUGUACUUUUUGAGACUGUUUCUUGCUAGCCAGACGUCUGGAAGACUUUGAAUCUCAGUCCAAAAUGAACAUCUUUAGCCACUUCUGGGGACUUUAAUAGUCUGCAAUGAGAACUUGUUUGCAAGGGGCAAGGCCUUUGGAAAAUUUCACCAGGAUGCCCAGUGAGCUACAGCCUGCAAGGGCUGUGGGUCACAUGCAGGCUUGGGGGAGGUGUUGAUAAGAAGUCAUCUCGCCUCCCAGAACCCUUAGGACAUUCAUUGCAGCUUUAUAUUUUCUAUGUUAUAUCAUGAUCUCUUGAGUGUCUCUCUGUGACCAGGAGUAUCCUGCGCUCUGGAGCUUUCUGGCAGUUCCAGCUUGCUUGUUUGCAAUUGAAUCAAGAGCCUUGACACCCUUGACUCCUCUCUGCAGGUCUCCAGGCCGCUGUGUCUGUCUCUGACACGAUGCCCCAGCCGCACCACCUCUUGCCAAGCUUUGGCAUCUCUCACUUGAGUUAUUGCUUUGCCCUUAAUGUUGUGCCCAGAUUCUCCUGUGUGCAGUCUGUCUUUAGAACGGUCUUCCUAAACAAAGAUGUGGUCAUGUCGCUCCUCAAAUACUUGUCUCCUAAGUCCCCACUGCUUCCAUGCCAAAACCCCAACUGCUUAGCUUCAUCUGCAGGGUCUGUCACGACACUGUGCUUUGCUGGCAGCCCUCCCUGAAGUCCUCUGCCCUCCCUUCCCUGCCAGGGAAGUGCUAGCUCUUGAGGUUCUCCCGGAAGUUUCAUCUGCCUCUGGCCCCUGGGCCUUGACCCCAGCCUGAACUGGGGACCCUUGGCAUAGCAUGUGGAUUGUCCCUUGCUUUGUAGGGUGUGCCCAGUGAGGCAUCUGGAUCUCAGCCCUCUUGCCAUCCUACCCAAUGGGAACUCCACAAAUCUGAGUUAAUUGAACUGAAUCAGAUUGUAAUAUAAUGAUGUCUGGGUUCUUUAGACCGAACUUUGGCUGUUUUCCCUCACAUACUUUCCCAUAUUGUGCAGGGUUCACUGGAGAGGCAAGUGGCUGUAUUCUGUGCUCUAUGUUCUUUUUCUCAUACCUAAUAACACAAGCAGAAAGACUUGGCAUACUGAAACAAGUCUGUCGGGCUUUCUGCACGCAGGUUUUUGCCAGCACAGGAAAUUGAGGUGUGUUCGGUGAAGUCAGCCCCUUCAUCACUGGAGCUUUCCCUGAGCUGAAGAGACUUGCCUGGGUGCAUGACCCGGGGAGUCUCGAGUGCCCAGUUUCAUCUCUGGUAACACCUCUCAGGAGAGCUUGCAUGGCUGACCUUGGGACAGCAGUACCUUGAUGUGGUUCAGAAAGGCCUCUGUCCCUCGGGGAGCCUCUCCAUUGAGGGAGGGUUUGAAAGAGGCACAUACUUUGUCACAUUGCUUGCUUAUUCUCUUUUGAAAGCUGAUCUAUUAAUUCCCCACAAGUUCAUAACCUGUGUCUAACAAACAGGUUUUUGUGUAAAGACAGUAAGAGACAUAGUUUGGAUAUUUGCUUUGAGCUCCUUUAUUUACCCUUGUCAGCCCAGGAUUUGUUCAUUUCAGCACAUAUUUCUUGCACUUCACCUGCACAAAGCUCUGGGUUGAAUGCUGUGGAAUAAAGCAAGCUCCUUUGUCCUGGGUGACUUCACUGUGGAGGGGCACCCUGGACACCAUGAAGCACUCACAUCUCUCAGGCUGGAGGUGGCACACAGUAAUUAUGUGCUCAACGUCAUGACCGCAUGCGGGACUCCAUGCCAUGCCAUUAAGUUUGCCCAGGCUGCACUCAAACUGUGACCUGAUCCCCUUGCCUCAGCCACUCAAGUAGCUGGGAUUGCAGGCAUCACCUUGAUGCUUGGCUUUUGGGGCCCUUAUCUCUGCGUUACAUCAUGUAAUUUCCAUAAAGGUCCUGAGAAAUGUUAGUAUCACUAUGCCUGAGUGCUGAGGGAACAAAAUUGAAGCUCAGAGAAGCUUACACCAGGGCAUGUACCAUGGAAUCAGGGAGAGUUGGAUUUGAACCCAGAUCUCUGACUUUACUGUCCAUUUUCAUAACCGUUGCAACUCAAGUUGUAAAAGCAAUCGCCAGCUGUCUUAGUCCAUUUUCUGAGACCAGAUAAUUUAUAACUGAUCUCUUACAGUUCUGCAGGCUGGGAAGCCCAGCACUGAGGGGCUGCACCAGGUGAGGGCCUCCUUGCUGUUGAGAGCUGGGUGAGUCCCCAAGGUGACACAGGUACUCACCUGGAAAGACCGACCAGUGUGCUGGAGGCAGCAUGCUCACCACAAACCACUCCCUUGAGAGCCCCCUAAUCUGUUCACCCUAAAUAGGUUGACCCAUUGAGGAGGGUGGAGCCCUCAUGACCGAAUCCCUCCCCAAGACGCCCUCUAAAUGCCACCGAUAACACGUGACUGCGGACUGAGUUUCCAGCACAUGAAACCUGGGGGGGACACACAAACUGUAUCACCUGCCACCUUGACUGCGCGGCUUCCAACUCGCCGGUCUGGUGCAGGGCUGAGAUUCCCUAAGCAAAUCCAGGUGCUGGGGCUGGGGGAGAGCCCGGUGGGAGAGAGCCUGCCCGUGGGUGGUUUCCAUCUCCGCACCGCAAACUUCGACAGCAGCAGCGCAAGAUUCAGAUGCUUCCGACUCCGGGUCUGAUGACCAUCUCUGAGCAGCACUGCCGUCAGCCCCUUCUGGCAGAACCAUGAGCAUGGAAGCAAGCGGCCGGGCUGCCGGGGGAGGAGGUGGGCUCCCGGGCCCACCUGUUUCUCUAUGGACUGUGUGCGCCUGGCCCUUUCCACUCUGCCUACAGGUUCAUCCCGGCUUCUCUGAUCUCAGCUUCAGCUUGCUCCUGGCUCCUUCUCCCCGUGUUGAAAACAUGCUCAAGUCUCCU